UCUUAGAUUGCUCAGUCGAUAGAGCAUGAAACUCUUAGGGUUGUGGGUUCAAGCCCCAUGUUGGGAA